CGUCGCCGCCAUAUUGGAGCGGGCAACUCUCAUAACUCUCACAUCAGGACAGAAGAAAACACACCUGACUCAUCGACAGAUUGGACACCUACAAACCGUCACACGAUAAUAAAAACAGAUCUCGGGGUGUUAUCUUUCACAGCCAUUUGCAAACAGGACAAGGAAAGCUGAGGAAAGCUGUUCUCUGCAUUUCCAAGAGACAAGACUAUUCCUCCCUAGACUAGUGUUGUGUUUGUACUAAACCCAGAGCAGCCCUGAAUGAAUCGACAGAAUGACCAGCUCAUAUUCUAAUACUAUAGACUGCAUUUAAAAAGCUUUGCACAGGCUGUUUAAUGCUGAUCAUGUACUGCGUGUGUCUUUACACAAAAACUACAUGAUUUAAAUAGCCUAGAAAUGAAAAACACAGGAACUCAUAGUGAGUCCAGCUGCAAUAUCAUGAUAAACUCAUUGUAAUGUUGUUAUAAUUAUUAUUAAUUUUGAUUAAUAUCAAGUUUUUGAGGGGAGCAUCUCAUAUUCUGGUCUGUGAUAAAAAUAACUAUACUUUGAGAUUUUGUGUGACAUUUAUAUGUGUUAACAUACAUGGAAAAAUAAAUCACUGUUUCAAAA